AGAAAAAUAAGCUAAAUUCAAGCUUUUGGAUUCAUACUUCAAAUAUAGAACAACAAAUCUUUUUUCUAAU
rnacentral:tRNA from 1 species